UUUUCUUUAAUGCAGUGAAUGCAAUGUAACCGUCGUGCAAGAGAUUGUUUAGUAUACUGUAACCUCAAUGAUGAACGCUUGGUAUGAUCAUGACAUGAAUGAGACGCUUUCAUAACAAUAGUCCGUUCUGAGCCCAACACAGAGGUGAAUGUAAUGUAACCGUCGUGCAAGAGAUUGAUCUUGACCUAGGGUUACGAGCAAGUAUCAAUGAGAGGCUGGAGACACCGCUUUCCAUCAAGGUGCCCAUGAUCCCUUGUUUGACACGCACGGAGACAUGAUGUUCGAGGGCGGGGCGAAGUCCGUGUUUGCGCCACUGUGUGGCAAAUCGCUGGAUCUGAUCUGGAUGUAUAAUCGUGGUCACACCGUGGUUGGCGCGGAGAUAGCAGAGCAAGCGGUCCAAGAACUGUUCUCAGAGAAAAAGCUUGAUGUUCACGUGCAGCACGUAGAGGGAGUUGGGCCGCUGUACAAGGUACCGCGACCUGCUUUUGUCAUCACUGAAGAAGGAUGGGCAGUAUUACCUCAUGAUCAUUGACUAUGACCCCGCCGUCUGGCCAGGACCGCCACACAACAUCACGGAUCAGAGGGUCAGACAAUUGUACGGUGAAUACUGCAACAUUGAGAUGAUGCAAGAAUCUAACCUUACCGGCAUCAGCAAUCCGGACAACAAAGCAUCUGGUGGCAACGCCCCGCCAGCAAAACCGAAGUCUGCCGGUGCGGCAUUGAGAACAUCCUCGUAUCUUUAUGAUCGAUAUUAUAAAAUAACGUUCAAGUGAGUCAGUGCAUUGACCACUAUAUGUUCAUACUUAAGUGGAAUAAAACAAACACACACAAUCAAGACUCGCACAAAUCUUAACUAUCACUGCAGAAUCAGUACGCAUGCGCAUGUAUUUUGAAUCUGUCCAUUUACCGGUGUGUAUUAAUAUUGUCCAUUGUACUGUUAAUAAAUGACAGCCAUAAACAGUUUAAAAAACACGAAUGCAAUAUCCACACAACUAAUUGUAUACCAGAGUGUUAUUCGUCCCCAUGCAUUUACUUUUGUUCGGGUAUAAACUUUGUGAAUUCACAUGGCUUGUAAUGAUUAUUUCGAUUUUAGGCUAUUACAAAUUUAUCAGAUGUAUGUCGGAUGUUCCGCGUCUAACAAUCGUAAAAU